rnacentral:rRNA from 1 species
GGGGGGGGGUGGGGGCGGGCCUGGGGCGUGCGGGUCGAGCGGGUCCUUCGGGGGUGGUGGCGGACGGGUGGGUAACCCGUGGGGACGGGACCUUUGGUUCGGGCCAACUCGGGGCAACUUGAGCUAAUACCGGAUGUGCCGUUCGGUGGAGAGCUUUAUCGCCAUUGGAGCUGCCCGCGUCUGAUUAGCUAGUUGGUGAGGUAACGGCCCACCAAUGCGACGAUCAGUCGCCGGUCUGAGAGGAGGAUCAGCCACACUGGGACUGAGACACGGCCCAGAAUCCUACGGGAGGCAGCAGUGGGGACUCUUGCGCAAUGGGCGAAAGCCUGACGCAGCCAUGCCGCGUGGAUGAUGAAGGUCUUAGGAUUGUAAAAUUCUUUCAGCGGGGACGAUAAUGACGGUACCCGCAGAAGAAGCCCCGGCUAACUUCGUG